GGAUGUGGGGGUGAUCUGGCUAUGACAUCUGUCAUCCCAUUGAUCACCAGGGUUGAUUCAGCUGAUCUCGCUGGCUAGGUGGGUGUCCCCUUCCUCCCUCACCACUCCAUGUGCAUCUGUCCUGAAGCUGAGCACUCACUCAGUAGAAGAGGACUGCCUUCCCCGAAGAGGCAGACAUGUCUUUGGUCGAGGAUAUAUGAGUAGCUUCGCUUCCUUGCUAGGAAACCUCCAAACAAGCUCUCAAGAGACUAUAGUACUGAUGGUGGGAGCUGAGUUUAAACUGAGGUCACACACCAAACAAAAAAGUGCAAUAUCCAAGUGAGCUAUUUUU
rnacentral:snRNA from 1 species